UACGUAGGCCUCGAGCGUUAUCCGGAUUUAUUGGGCGUAAAGAGCAUGUAGGCGGCUUUACAAGUCUUUGGUUAAAGACCACCGCCUAACGGUGGGAGUGCCGAGGAAACUGUAGAGCUGGAGGAGUUUAGAGGUGCAUAGAACGCAUGGUGUAGGGGUGAAAUCCGUUGAUAUCAUGCGGAAUACCAAAGGCGAAGGCAGUGCACUGGGACUUUCCUGACUCUGAGAUGCGAAAGCGUGGGGAGCAAAAAGG
rnacentral:rRNA from 1 species